CCCCCGCCCCCGCGAGAGGCCGCGCUGCGGCGGAGGCCUGGUCACGUCCCGCACGGAGCCGCCGCCGCGUGAGGGCGGCGCGGGGUGAGGAGCGGCCUGAGGCGCUGGGCCCGCUGCCCUCGGGCGGUGGGGGCAUACAGCGCGUCAUCGUGGGCCUCAGGACUCUGCGCUGAAAUGAAUCCCCUCUACAUUUCCAAUCUCAUCCAAAUGAAUGCUUCCAGGUGAUAUUUUACGCCAGUUGUACAGAAGGGGCGAAGACGUGCCCGCGGGAGGGCUGCAGAGCUGCUGCAGCGUGGGCGCCCAUCUGCGCGCGGCCGCACCGCGGCACCGACCCGCAGCACCGACCCGCAGCACUCAGCUGGGCCUGAGGGACCAAGAGCAGAACUAACAGCAUGCUUUUACAUGGCCCACACGGAUUCUUCAUUUACCAGAUAACUGUGGAAAACAGCCUUGUAAAGGGAUGCACUUUUCAGAAGUAUGGUUUGGGAGAAAAAUUUCUAGCCUCACGUGCUUGGAUAGUCAAUAAUGCACCGUAACGGACUGCACGUUGUGCGAGAAAGGUCAUGGUCUGAGGGCUUUUACCUCUAGGAGGGCUAGGGCUAACGUUUGCUGGAGGGUUGAUGUGUUGCUGUUCUCACUCAAUAGACACUUCUGAGGAAAUUCUGAUAGCAAGUCAAACGCUUGAUCUGUGCUGCUCUGCUCUUUGGUGACGGCAGAGCUAUGCUUGGAUGAACUACAGAACAGUGAAGGCCAGAGAAAACAAACCAAAAAAAAGUGUGCACUUACAAGAAACAAAACAUGAAGAUACGCAGAGAGUAAAACGAAUGCAUUUCCUCACGCGUGGACUGAAACAUCCUGUCUGCACCUGCACUGGAGAGAGCUCCUGUGAGAGUUGUCUGAAGGCUCCGAGAAGGCUGGACAGGCCUCAAGGCAGAAUCUUGCUGAGAACAACACUGAGAAUGAACAUGGAUUAACAAGACAACUGAAAUCUUUGGAAACGGUUUACACAGCCUUAAAGCACAAGCAGCUGCUCGAUAGCAUUCUGUUGGCCUUCAGGUGACUUGAUGCAAGCCCAGUUUUUCAGGGCAGAAAGAAAACGGUCCCAUUCUUAAGGAUCCUGACUAGGACUCAAAACCAAAAGCGCGUCUCGCAAUACGUUCAAUCUAUAAAUUGGAGUCAGCUUACUUGAGUAACCCAGCUCCUACUUCUGCAAGGGCAUCUCCAGCCAGCAUGCCGAUAAAGAACCAAGAAUUACAUUCUCUUCUCACCCGAAGAACCAACUGCAAGUAGACUAUGUUCGCUCUUAUGAAAUAAACCAGCAAUGGUACUUCUCUUGACAACCCAUCCAUUAAAAACACAGAACAAAAGCUAAAUGUGUUCCCGAAAAGAAACGCUUAAAAAUGUAACAGAUUAUACUGACCAUCUUCUCUUCUUAAAUUUCUCUCAAUGUUGGCUACGCAUGAAGCACACGUCAUUCCUGUGACUUGGACAUAGCACUUUGACAAGGUCUUGGACUCUUGUUUAGCAACAAAUUUCUGUAACAUCUUGGAGGUAGGCUCAGCAGACUCCAGCUGCUCUUUGGGUGUGGGUUGAGUUAUUCCCACAGGGAGAUCUGUCUUUUCUGAAGAAGAGAUUGAAAUUCAUGUCAUUACAAAUAGACAUUGCAAUUAACUAUGACCUGGUACUAUGUAAGGCAUUAAUACAUGUAAAUUUUCAGACAAAAAAGUCUGUUCUGCACCAGCAGCAGAGUAACUCUAAACCAAGCCAGGGCAGAAACGGAAAAUGAUUAAAUUUAGGCUAAGUUUAGAGUGUUGUGUUAUAAACAUAGCGUUGAUUUGUACUCUUGAAGUGGUACCAACCAAAAAUGGGUGAACUUUUUUUCCUAUCCUCAUGCCAGAGAAUAAAACUUUGACUAUUCUAAAAAUAAAGAGUCUGCAAUGUCAGUAUCAGUUGCUUUGAUGGAGUUGGUAAUUGAUGUAUGGUAUUACCAUGGAUAAAACUAUAUAAGUAAAAAAAAAAAUUCACAGAUCAUGGAAGCAUGCCAAAUCUGAAUUACUGCAUCAGAUAUAUUUUCACAAUUCUUGAGCCAUAAAAAAAACCCCAAUCUUGAUUAAUCUUUUCUAUAAAAAAAAGUCAUGGCCAUAUCUAACUGUCUUGUCCAAACAACAUUUCUCCGUCCAAUAAAGUGUCAAGAAACUGUAUUUAGGCCCAUAGGACAGUGAACACCAGUUAACAUUCAAAUCAUGGUAUCAUAUUCGCUGUGCGACUUUAUGACAGCUGCCUGUGUUUAAAAUCCUGCAUUCACAAAGGACAAAAUUUAAAAUGCUAAAUAAACUCGUUUUUAGGUUCACUUAUUUUUAUAACAGGUGAUAGUAGGUAGUGCCUAAGUAAUGCAGAAGUUUAACUAAGCUUUGGUUAGGUAAGUGUUUUAGCACACCUGACAGAAUUUUCAUUCAGGAUGUGACAUGUUUAAGGCAUUGCAAUGGGCUGCCCAGGAAUGUCCCCCAUUCCCAGAGGAAUCUAAGAGACACGCAGACGUGGCACUAAGGGACACGGUCUAGUGACGGAAAUCUGCAGGUCGGGUUGCUGGUUGGACUUGAAGAUUGUGAAGGUUUUUUCCAACUCAGAUGAUGUUUAGACCACUGGAACUUUAUGAUGGUUUUGUUACAAUUUUUCUUUUGCUUUUUCCUUAUUCAUCCAUCUUGUGGUACAUCCUUUAUCCUCUUUGAUAGGCUGCAGGCUAAACAUCUGCUUUGCAACCUUAGCUUUGCAUGUAAUUUUAUUGAUUUUACCUGAGGCACAAGGUGCACGCACGUUUUGUACAGAAAUUCAGUGUUUUUGGCCUUAGAGAAGGACUCUCAAGCCACAGACAGCUGCUUCUUGUAUCAAUUCCGAAGCCAUAUUUACGCAGGAGCAAUAUAAAAGGAAUUAAAUGUGAGUACUUGACUUUACUUCUUUGGUUAUUGAUAUAAAAUAUCUCGCUGUAUUUCUUAAAAUGUAAUCUUAGUGAAUUAAAAAAAUGGAGCUUCGCUGUUCCUCAAGAAGACUCUUCCCAUUAAUACUCA